rnacentral:misc_RNA from 2 species
AACGCGCCUUGCGCUCCUUGGUAUUCCGAGGAGCAUGCCUGUUUGAGUGUCAUUUAAUUCUCAACCUUAUUAGCUUUUGCUGAUAAUGGCUUGGAUGUGGGGGUUCUCUUUUGCUGGCUUCUUUUCACAGAGGUCAGCUCCCCUGAAAUGCAUUAGCUGGUGCCCCGCGUGGACUGUCUAUUUGGUGUGAUAAUUAUCAACGCCGUGGAUGUCUGCAAUUGGUUUUGGCAUUGCUUCUAACUGUCCGUUCAUUUGGACAACACAUGACAAUUUGACCUCAAAUCAGGUAGGACUACCCGCUGAACUUAA